rnacentral:rRNA from 1 species
CUCCGACUCCUCGCAUGGGGUGUCGGGAAAGAUUAUAUCGGUAUGGGAUGGGGUCGCGUCCUAUCAGGUAGUCGGCGGGGUAACGGCCCACCGAGCCUACGACGGGUAGCCGGCCUGAGAGGGCGACCGGCCACAUUGGGACUGAGAUACGGCCCAGACUCCUACGGGAGGCAGCAGUGGGGAAUAUUGCACAAUGGGCGCAAGCCUGAUGCAGCGACGCCGCGUGCGGGAUGACGGCCUUCGGGUUGUAAACCGCUUUUGAUCGGGAGCAAGCCUUCGGGUGAGUGUACCUUUCGAAUAAGCACCGGCUAACUACGUGCCAGCAGCCGCGGUAAUACGUAGGGUGCAAGCGUUAUCCGGAAUUAUUGGGCGUAAAGGGCUCGUAGGCGGUUCGUCGCGUCCGGUGUGAAAGUCCAUCGCUUAACG